rnacentral:misc_RNA from 1 species
GGAUCAUAAUGCUUAUUGUGUAUCCAUUAGAACUCAGAAAUCAGAACCCAGUCGAUCCAACAAGCGAGGAAUAUGAAGCAUUUUCAUCACUAGCCACAGGCCGCUUCUCGCUAUCUUUGUUUGAUACUGUAUCUCUACUACUUAGAAGUUGUCUCAGGCCUGCUAUCUCACACAAUUCUGACCUCCGAUGCUUUGAAGCCUCAAUGUCACCAUCCCAGCAAGUGUCGGAUAUAAUUUCAAGUGCUUUCUCUAUCAUGUCCGCUGGCACAAGAUUUCCCUUUUGCAAGAGUACAAGGUAAACUUGCUCGGCAGAAGCUUUCCUAAUCUUAGGAUAUCGAUGGGUAAGAAAAGUAAGAAGAAGAGUGAAUGCCCGGGUGUUUGAAUGCUCCAAAAGUGAAGCAAUAUAUCCAAGUAUUGCAAUGCCGGCAUAUAACUUUGAGAAAUCCCUAGAUCCUUUCAAUUCAACAGCAAUAGAAUCCAAAACACCAUCACAGAAGAUUGGAGUAUGAACCUCCAUGUUCAAGAAUAUCUUUUUGCUGAAAAGAAUCUCAAUUGUCUUCAAAGUAGGUAUAAUGACUCGAUCACAUUUCUUGUACUGUUCAAGCACCCAAAGGAUGUCGGUAGAUAGCAUAUAUUCUCUUGACCUUCUCUCAUUAGGGUCUUCAGAUUCAACUGCUUGAAGAUAGUCCAACAAUGCAGAGAAUGAUACCUUCCGUAAAGAAUCUUGCAAUCCACCAAUUGAAAUAACUAAGCCAGACAACGCUGCUCUACUAUAACAACUAAACUUGAGUAAUUUUAUAAAUCGUGGAUAUGAAAAGGAGGGUGCCCCCCAUUUUAAAUCUGCUUCAUUAGGAACAAUUUCUUCUAGCUUUUCCCUCAGUGGUAUGAAUGGGACAAAUAUUGUCCUGUUGUACAAUAUUCUUUGGAGAACUUUUGCAGCAGCUUCUCUUAUUUUGUCCAUCUUCUCUACGGCUUGCUUAACAAUUCCUUCAAUCAAAUGGACAGCAAGA